rfam:Myotis davidii contig18494, whole genome shotgun sequence.
GGCGGUUCUUGGGGGAUGCACUCCAGAAUCAGCCUCCCUCCUCUCUGGUUCCGGGUGUGUCACCAGAGAACUGCA